rnacentral:rRNA from 1 species
UACGUAGGGUGCAAGCGUUGUCCGGAAUUAUUGGGCGUAAAGAGCUCGUAGGCGGUUUGUCGCGUCUGCUGUGAAAACUCGGGGCUUAACUCCGGGCCUGCAGUGGGUACGGGCAGACUAGAGUGCGGUAGGGGAGAAUGGAAUUCCCGGUGUAGCGGUGAAAUGCGCAGAUAUCGGGAGGAACACCGGUGGCGAAGGCGGUUCUCUGGGACGGUACUGACGCUGAGACGCGAAAGCGUGGGGAGCGAACAGG